rnacentral:rRNA from 1 species
GACGAACGCUGGCGGCGUGCUUAACACAUGCCAGUCGAACGGAAAGGCCCUGCUUUUGUGGGGUGCUCGAGUGGCGAACGGGUGAGUAACACGUGAGUAACCUGCCCUUGACUUUGGGAUAACUUCAGGAAACUGGGGCUAAUACCGGAUAGGAGCUCCUGCUGCAUGGUGGGGGUUGGAAAGUUUCGGCGGUUGGGGAUGGACUCGCGGCUUAUCAGCUUGUUGGUGGGGUAGUGGCUUACCAAGGCUUUGACGGGUAGCCGGCCUGAGAGGGUGACCGGCCACAUUGGGACUGAGAUACGGCCCAGACUCCUACGGGAGGCAGCAGUGGGGAAUAUUGCACAAUGGGCGGAAGCCUGAAGCAGCAACGCCGCGUGCGGGAUGACGGCCUUCGGGUUGUAAACCGCUUUCGCCUGUGACGAAGCGUGAGUGACGGUAAUGGGUAAAGAAGCACCGGCUAACUACGUG